CUCUAGCCCCGAUUAUAAUGGAAAUCCUUUACUGCGGCGCGAUAGCAAAGCAGGAAAGAUUGAAAUGAAAAGCGGGAAACAGC
rnacentral:sRNA from 1 species